AUUUGCAUUGCAUUUUUUUUUGCAUUGAAGUGAAGGGGGUGGGAUAACAUAAUGCUGAUGUUAUCCCACCCCCUUCACUUCAAUGCAAAGGAAAAUGCAAUGCAAAU
rnacentral:miRNA from 1 species